CAGUCGCCACGGUAAUACGUAGGUCCCGAGCGUUGUCCGGAUUUAUUGGGCGUAAAGCGAGCGCAGGCGGUUAGAUAAGUCUGAAGUUAAAGGCUGUGGCUUAACCAUAGUACGCUUUGGAAACUGUUUAACUUGAGUGCAAGAGGGGAGAGUGGAAUUCCAUGUGUAGCGGUGAAAUGCGUAGAUAUAUGGAGGAACACCGGUGGCGAAAGCGGCUCUCUGGCUUGUAACUGACGCCGAGGCUCGAAAGCGUGGGGAGCAAACAGGAUUAGAUACCCGCGUAGUCCCUGUCUCUUAUACA
rnacentral:rRNA from 1 species